rnacentral:lncRNA from 9 species
UCCCUCUCCACCUAAACUAAUCCUCACCUACGCACAGAUCCCACCUACGCACCUCUUCCGCCAGUAACAUAGGGUUUCUCUCCCUAACCCCCCCUUCCAUCCCUUAGAGAAGGUUCCCAGAAACACUGCAGGGACUUCACACUCACUCCAUUGGCAGAACUUGGUCACGUGACCACCUGCGGCAAGGGACCCUGGGAAACGCACUCUGGUUCAGGGGCCCACCUGCUCACAAACCACGGUGAGUGGGGGGAGGUCUGCGGCCAGAGGAGGCAAGAGGAGAGAUUAGGGACAAGUGACAGUGUCCCCAGACUUCUGGACAGGAAGCGGGGCAGUUAGAGGAAGAGGAGCAUUUUAGGAAGAGUAACCAGCCAGCAGUGCAUAGACAGACUGAGAUAAAGCAGGGAUGAGGGGCCGGUGCGUCUGUGGCCGUGUGGCCGCGAGAAUUCGUGCUGACAAGGGGUUCAAGGAGGAUUUAGACGCAUCGCCAGGAGCCGGCUGGUUGAGAGGAAGUGAAGACAAAGUCGACGGGGAUGCGGAGGCCAGAAACACAGAGAGAAUCUCACAUUCUAAACUUCAUCUGGUGAAAAAAAAUAAAGCAGUGAAAAUAAUAGCCCAGAAUUGGAAUCUGGAAGUGGAAGCUCCAAGGUGAUGGAUUAUUUCCCCCUUUAUAAUAGUUUUAAACCCAAUCAUUGUCAUGAAUAAAAUGACUUUUGUUUUUUAGGACUGACAAUUUAAAUAUUACAUCAACUUAAUCAACCAAGGACUUCUUGGACUAUUGUUUGUUUUUAGGCAAAUAUUCCUGUCAUUUUCACUCACAUUUCACAUUUACACUAUCAAAAGACAAUACUUGUAUGUUUCUUUGUACUUAUGUAUAUCUUUGUUUCAUGUUCUUAACUAGUUGCGUUUUGUUUUGUUUUGUUUUGUUUUUGUAGGCCGCCCCUGUGGCAUAUGGAACUUCCCAGGCUAGAGGUCGAAUGGGAGCUACAGGUGCUGGCCUAUGCCACAACCACAGCAAUGCAGGAUCUGAGCCACACCUGUGACCUACGUCACAGCUCACGGGAACGCUGGAUUCUUAACCCACCGAGCGAGGCCAGGGAUCGAACCCACAUCCUCAUGGUUACUAGCUGGGCUAGUUACUGCUGAGAUAGCUGAUUUCCUUAAAGGCUGGACUUGGUGUGUGACUCGUGGUGGC